rnacentral:tRNA from 1 species
GUGGCGAUAGCUCGCUGGCAAGAGCACUCGGACAUAUCCGAUAGAUUGAAGGUUCAAAUCCUUCUCGCCACU